ensembl:lncRNA
GUGGGUUGAGACGGCCUCGCUCGGCGCUUCAGGGACGUGCGCCGGCCCUCAGCGAGUCAAAUCAACUGAAAAUUUUAGCAUUUUGCAUUUUUAAUACCAUUUUAUGUAGUUUCAAGUAUCAAGUGACCUGGACUUCAAUGUGAUAUCAUGAUGUUCAUUCUCUGCUUGGUCCUUGUCAUCUUCUAAGUCAAAUUCACACAUAAGUUCAAAAGUUUUGUCUUGUACAUUUUGAAGAUCAGCGGGAUCCUUCACUGAGAAGUAUGAAGUACAUCAGGAGAGAAGCUAAUGGACCCUAUUAUUUCUCAUGCUUGCUUUUCACAGAUCAUGUUCAUCGUGUUCAGCAGCUGAAGAGUUUUCUAAACUCAAUUAGUGCAAGAAUGCUGUGACCAAUGGAAAAAUGUUUGAUGCUUGCCAGAAAGCAAAUCUCCCCAGCUCUUGAAAAUAGCAUUCGGAAAACAAAAGCUCUAAAAGAGUAGCAUCUGGGAAGGUCAAAGAAUGAAGUUUUGAAUAUUCCUGUUCAAAUAUGCCAACAAGAAAUGGAGUGAAGUUACUGAAGCACUAGCACGGGGAUUUGUAAGAGGCAACCAAGUCUUGCUGUGGCCAUAUAAGGCCUUUGGAAAAAGACGUUAUUUUGCUUCUUCAGUAUUGAUUGUAUCUGAAAGAUCCUGUUUUCCUUCUUCUCCUGCACAUGUCUUCCACAGAUCAGAUGGCUAUCUGUUUACACUGAAAAGGGUUUCUGCCCCUACCUUGGCUCUCUGUCUAUCCUGCAUAGUAACAACUGCUAAAGAAAAACAUACACUUCUUGCUGCUCUGUUAAGUAAUUGUUGAUGGGAUCUGUCUUAUUCCAAUUAAAAUGAUAAAUCCCAAGGACAUGGCAGAUUUCCCAUGCUUUAAUAGAGUCUCACUUGCAACAGUUGUGUUCAGUUUGUUGAGCUGGUCAGAGGCUUGUUACUCAAUACUUCUCAGCUUAAAUGAAAGCUGCUUUUGUCUGGGAGCAGGAGCUGGAAUGCUAACACAAGCGGUACCAUGCGAUGCAGUGUGCAGCUUCCUUGGCUUGUAUGUGAUUAGGUGCUGCACUGCUCAGACAAAGAUAUUGUUCUGCUUUAAAUCAAGAUCUGUUUGAAUAAGCACACCUCUCUCAGACACUUCAUCACUCUCUUAUUUCUGAGAAAAAUCCUUAUCAGCCUGUUAUUUCUCUUUUCAUAAGAACUCCAUCUAUCUUCAGUGAAGGAUGAAACAGUUUAUAGGGCAUCUCAGGACCGUGUAUUGUCCCAUCUUUGUUCAGAAUGGUGCAAGCUCCAUUUGCAAAACAUUCCCUGGGAUAAAUAAACAAAAAUCUGGGAAUACUUAAUGCUCUCACUGCACAGCAAGAAAUACAAAUAUUUUACAUAAUAUGAAAAAUAUUUUUUAGUUUUAUUUCAAAGAUAUUAUAUUCAUUAAAAAUAUGGAUAUAUACUUCUGUUUUCAUCCAAAAAGUGGUUUUGACAAGCAUGAUUUUUCACUUUGAAAUGUCCACCAAGAUUUUGUUUAGAGUUUUGGAGAUGUAAGUCCAAGUUUUUAUUGUAACUCUUUUGCUGCUACUGGGAAAAUAUAGAAAAAUAAAUAAAUAAAAAUGGGGCUUUGUCUCCUUUUCUGAAUGCCUUUUUAAGGUUUUCUACCUUGUGCACAAAGAGAGG